AUUGAACGCUGGCGGCAUGCUUUACACAUGCAAGUCGGACGAGUGGCGAACGGGUGAGUAACAUAUCGGAACGUACCCAGUAAUGGGGGAUAACUAAUCGAAAGAUUAGCUAAUACCGCAUAUUAUUCGAGCGGCCGAUAUCUGAUUAGCUGGUUGGUGGGGUAAAGGCCUACCAAGGCGACGAUCAGUAGCGGGUCUGGGAGGAUGAUACGGGACACGGGGACUGAGACACGGCCCAGACGCCUACGGGAGGCAGCAGUGGGGAAGUGUGGACAGUGGGCGAAAGCCUGAACCAGCCAGGCCGCGUGUGUGAAGAAGGCCUUCGGGUUGUAAAGGACUUUUGUCAGGGAAGCGGUACCUGAAGAAUAAGCACCGGGUAACUACGUGCCAGCAGCCGCGGUAAUAC
rnacentral:rRNA from 1 species